AUACCAUCAUGACAAUCAUAAUGACAAUCAGCAUUACCAGUCCAUACAUCAACAAAGCUUUCAGACAGCCAGUAAUUUCCAAUUUUGUAGAUUUAUAACCAUCUGUCAGUCCAUUUUCAAAUUCCCAAGUUUGUAACCAUUCUGUCAGUCCAUCAGUCCCUGUUCCAG